ensembl:misc_RNA
UAGCCUGCCCAUCCUGAGGCUGCAUUUAGUUUUCCUAAGCCUCCUUCCUCCUCUUGUGGCCUCUCUUCUGAAACAAAGAAGAAACAGUCCAAUCAGACUUGCCCUCUUGGAAAUGUGGUCCAGAUUGCUCUACUCCCAAGCUCCUAAAAA